rnacentral:tRNA from 7 species
CCGGGUGUGGCGCAGUUUGGUAGCGCGCUUGAAUGGGGUUCAAGAGGCCGCUGGUUCGACUCCAGUCACUCGGACCA